UAAAAAAAAAAAAGCAAAAUGUUAACACAAAUUUGUUUAAAAUACAAAUAUUUAAAAAAAAAAAAGAAUCAGAAAUAAAACUGGCUUGAGAAAGUAAAGCAUCGUUUGUUCUUCCUGUGGCUCCUCCUCCUCCUGUGCCGCAGGAAUGUCCACUGCCACAGCUGCCAGAGAAAGGGUCUUCCAGGUGGGCAUUCUCUAGGCCUUCACCAGGUGCCCCAAUGACUUUGCUUCUUUCUUGGUUCUCUUCCCUCUUCUCUGUUCCCUCUCCAUCUUGAAGUCUUCUUAUUACCCACUUUUUCCUAGGAUUUACCCUACUUCCCUAAAUAAAUCAUGAAUAGAAGGCCACUUCCUCAACCUGGUGAAGAACAAGUAUGAAAAAGCCAUAGUAUCAUCCUUAAUGUUAAAGACCAAGUGCUUUCCUCUAAGAGCCAAAGCAGGACAAGGACAUCAUUCUCACCCCCGCUCCUAGUCAAUAUUGUCCUGGAGAUUCUGCCAGAGCCAUCACACAAAGCAAUGAAAUGUGAAAAAGAAAACCAAAGUCUCUACUCACGGAUGACAUCAUCAUCUAAGUAUAAAAGUCUGAUUGAAGCUACAAAAAAAAAAAAAAUACUACUAGAACUAAUAAGCAAGUUUAGCAAGGUUGUAGGGUCCAAGGUUAAUAUGCAAAUACCAGUCAGAUUUCUGUAUCCUAGUACCAAUCAGAAAUUGAAAAUAAAUUUUAAAAAAUACCACUUACAACAGUAAUACUAAUUAACACCAAUAGAACACUUGGGGAUAAAUAUGACAAAAGUUACUUAAGACUUUUACACUAAAAAUGCAAGACAUUGCUGAAAGAAAUCCAAAGAGAUCUAAUAAAUUGGAGAUGUAGCAUAUUCAUAAAUCAGAAUCCUCAAUAUUGACAGGGUGUGAGUUCUCCCUAAAUUUAUCUACAGAUUGAGCACGAUCCCAACUGCAAUUGUAUUGAAUUUUUUUAGGAAUUGAAAAACUUAUUCUACUAUUCAGAUAGAAAUUCAAAAGGUCCUAAAAUAGCCAAAACAACUUUGAAGAGGAAGAACAGAGUUAGAAAACUAAUAUUGCCUCACUUCGAGGUUAAUUAUAAAGCUACACUAUCCAAAAACUAGAGAAAUAGAUCAGUGCAAUUGAAUUCAUAUGUACAUAUAUCAAAAAAGUGAACUUUGGCCUGGCACAGUGGCGCACACCUGUAAUCUCAGCAGCUCAGGAGACUGAGACACGAGGAUCACGAGUUCAAAGCCAACCUCAGCAAUGGUGAGGCACUAAGCAACUCAGUGAGACCCUGUCUCUAAAUAAAAUACAAAAUAGGGCUGGGGAUGUGCUCAGUGGUUAAGUGCCUCUGGGUUCGAUCCCUAGUACCAAAAAAAAAAAAAAAUGAACUUAGGCUAUAUUUGGCAUCACGUGCCUAUAAUCCCAGCUGAGGCAAGAAGAUCUCGAGCCCCGGAGUUCAAGGCCACCCUGGCCCACAGUAAAACCCCAUCUAAAAAAUAAAAAAAAAAAACAUAAAAAUUAACUCAAAGUGAAUAACAAGACUUAAAGUAAAACUUAAAACUAUAAAACUUGUAUAAGACAGCAAGGAAAAAACUCUUUGUGACCUCAGGUUGUGCAAACUCUUCCUAGGUACAAUACCAAAAGGACCAUUCUUAGAAGAACAAAUUGAUAAUGGGGUUCAUGAAAAAUUUUUAAAUAUCUGCUCUUCAAAAUAUACUUUUAAGAUAAUGAAAAAGCAAGUCUCAGAAAUUAUUUGCAAAGCAUAUAUCUGACAAAGGUCAUCUAGAAUUUACGAACAACUCUGAAAAUUCAGUAACAACCCAAUUUUUUAAAUGUGCAAAUAUCUCACUGAAGAAGAUAUAAGGAGAUUAUUAUGGUUUGGUGUGAGGUGUACCCUGAAAGCUCCUGAGUUAAUGCAGGGAUAUUCAGAGGUGAGAUGAUUGGGUUGGACUGGAUUGUGAGAGCUAAUCAGUCCAUCCUGGUUUGAAUGGACUGAGUGAUAACUGUAGGAGUUGGGGUGUGGCUGGAGGAGGUGGGUCACUCAGAGCGUGCCCUGGAAGGCUGCAUCCUCCCUGUGGCCCUUUCCCCCUUUGCUCUACCUCUCUGAUUCCUGGCCUCACUAAAAGCUGAGCAUCUUUCCUCCACUGGAUCCUUCCCCCUGGUGUGCUGCCUCACACUGGGCCCAGGGCAAUGGAGUCAGCCUUCUACAGACAGAGACCUCUGAAACCCCGAGUCCCAGAUGAACUUUUCUACCUCCUCGGUUGUUCUUGUCAGGUAUUUUGGCCACAGUGACCAAAAAAGCUCAAUAAAACAGAUGGGAAAGAAGCACACAAAAAGAUGUUCAGGAUCAUCAGUUACUUGGCAAAGGCAAAGCCAUAAUAUAACUGCACAAACCUGUUAGAAAGACUAAAGUACUGUUUUAUCGUGUGUUUGUGUUACUGUGGAUCAGGCUGCUUUCUGUUGUUAUUGGUGGGAAUGUAGCAUGGUACAGCUACAGUUUUGUAAAAAGUUAAACAUACACCUACGCUACCAUACAGCCGUCAUACUCCCAGGUAUUAACCCUGGGGAAAAGUCUACAUCCAUGGAGGUGGUCAGCUUUCUGCCACUGUGACAAAAUACCUGAGAUCAUAACUUUUAAGGAGGAAAGGUUUAUUUACUCUGGAGAUUUCAGUCUCUGGUUGGUUGUCCUGUUGCUCUUGGGCCUGGGGGAAGGCAGAACAUUAUAGGGGAAGCUGCUCACCUCAGGGCUUCCAGGAAGCAAAGGGAGACAGGAAGGAAAGGGCUAGGAUUCAAUAUCCAGACUACAGCAUCCAUACACAAAACUUGUAUGUGAAUGUUUAUAGCAAUUUUUAAUACCCUGCAAUUAUACAUGUCUGGAGUUUUUGUACUUGGGCAUAUAGUUGAACCAUUUAGUUUUUGUGCUUACCACUGAAUGUUUUUGGUUAGUUUUAAAACAUGAUUUUUUUUCAGUACUGGGAUUUGAACCCAGGAGUACUUUACACACUGAACUACAUCCCUGUCCUUUAGUUUCUUUUUGAGACAGGGUCUCAUUAAGUUGUUUAGAGCCUUGCUAGGUUGACAAGGCUGGCCUAGAAGUUGCAAUCCUCCUGUCUCAGCCUCCCAAAUUGCUGGAAUUCAGGUGUUCACCACCACAUAGCAAAAAAUAAAGUGUUGAUACACAUAGUAAUGUGGUUGAAUCUCUAGUUGGAAGAGUUAAAGAAACCAAAUAAAAGUACAUAUAGUAUGAUUUAAUUUAUAUAAAACUAGAAAAUGUAAACCAAUCUAUACAAACAUCCCAGUUUCCUGGGAUGGGGAUGAGAAGCUGGGAGUGACAGCAGAGAGGAGUCACAGAAAGGUCCAGGGAAGCUGGGGGGUCAUGGAUAAGACACCAUCUCGGUGGUGGUGAUAGUUUCAUGGUGUGUAAGUGUACCCCUGUGUGUACCCAUGCACAAUGUCUAAUAUGAUAAUGUCUAGUCUUAAAUCGUGACUCUCAAUAUGUGCAGUUAGUAAAUUUCAUUCAUACCUCAAUAAAAGAGGGAGUCUUUUUCAAUUAAAAAAUAAUAAUUUCAUCCCAAAGAUUUAAGAAUUAGUUUUCAUAUAAAAUGUGUAUCCUUAGUAAGCCAAAGAAAUUGACCUGUUGAAUAUAUAAAAAAUUAUCAAAUGUUGGUGAUUCACCUACUACAUUCACUUAAGUGUUGAAAUCAUUGUCACUGAACUGCUUACUAUGAAACCAGUUGGUCCUCAUUUUUCUUAUGAUCUCAUCUUGUCAAAGACUAUGCUAUUAGUAGUAAGAACAAUGGUCUCU
rnacentral:lncRNA from 1 species